CAGGAGUUAGUUUAAAAAAUAUUAGUUUUGGAGACUAAAGAUGGAAACUUUUCCACACCUGA
rnacentral:tRNA from 1 species